UGUCUCUCCAUCGUGAUAUCAGUCACCCAUCACGAUGGACGAUGGUAUCGUCCAUCGGCACAACCCUACCUUGUAGUCUCUUCCCUGAUGGCAGCAGGCCGAAGUGUCUCUGGGAUGGGUGUGAGGGGUCCCCUGCAAUCGCGAUGGCUUUGCUGGUGAGGCGGGAGUGAUAAAUGUCCGAGAGGCCAGUGAGAGGGACACCGAUGAUCUUCUCAGCUGUUUUCACAAUGUGCUGCAGAGUCUUCUGCCAGAACGCGGUGCAGGCUCUGUACCACGCGGUGAUGCAGCUGGUCAGGAUGAUCUUGAUGGCUUCACUGUAGUAGGUCUGCAUCAAUGAGUUCUAUCGCUAGAGGAGACAUCACGCGAUUCCUCAUGGGAGGAGAGCACCGCCAUCUUGGUGAGGUGAAGUCAAUGCUGCAGUGCAUGCAUGUGAACACAUUUUUUGCAAAAUGCCAGUUCAACUGCCAAAAUCAGAGAAAUGAGUCGACGAAGAAGGAAGGCAUAACAUUUUACAGGUAGGUACUAAAAUAUUUCUCCUUUAAUGCUGCAGGGGCUUCAUUAAUAGGGUUAGGGAUCUGGAUGCUGGAUCUCCUAAAGAAGGCAGUCAAUAGAUGAGGUGAGUGUCCACAGCUGGUUCCAAUCUGAAAGACAGAGCAGAGAUGGGAGGGAAAGAAGAGACUGCCAAAGGCACCAUGACAGCACCUCCCCCUCAACGAAAUGAGUCCACGAAAGAGGAAGGCAUAACAUUUUACAGGUUUUUAUCUUCAACACUCGUGGUGAAAAGACCUGAAGAUGAGGCGGAAAAGCAAAGUAAGGAAACGCCAUUACUUGGAAGCCAAGACAAAACUUGGUGACCAGACCAAGCACCAUUAUGGACAAAGAACUGGCGAUGGCUGCUGGUGCUGGAUCUCCUAAAGAAGGCAGUCAAUAUGUGACUCUUCUCAUGACAACACAGGUUGGUUUACAACGGGCGUUUAUUUGCACUUCUGCAGGUCAUCAGACUUCUUGUGGGACAUUGCGUGCCUUCGCUUUCAUAACGCCUUCAUUACGCCGUGAAAACUAUAACAAAACAUUAUAUAUGUUUCAGGAGAAAUAAACAAUACAAAAUAACACAAAACAAGCAUAACAAAUACCUCGUUUCCGCUUGUCAAGAAAAAGAGUCUCUUUGAGUCCAAGGUAUUUCUUUUUGCAGCUCUUUCUCCCAGCUUGAACUCCUAAUUGCUGCAACCUCAUGAGCAAAAGACGUGCUCACCUGCGGCCAACAUAAAAGGCUCAAAUUCUCGUGAGAAUAAUCCUAUUCCUCUGAACAUAAUUCAAACAAAAUUCACUGUACACUCCAAAGAAAUAAAAAUUAAAUCACCAAUUAUUAAACAUUUCACAACCCAUGGACUUCAAUAAAAUAUAUAAAUUUCAGCUGCAUUGACACAAUUGAUGAGGUGAGUGUCCACAGCUGGUUCCAAUCUGAAAGGCAGAGCAGAGAUGGGAGGGAAAGAAGAGACUGCCAAAGGCACCAUGACAGCACCUCCCCUUCAACGAAAUGAGUCCACGAAAGAGGAAGGCAUAACAUUUUACAGGUAGGUACUACAAUUUUUCUCCUUUAAUGCUGCAGGGGCAUCAUUAAUAGUACACAUGUUGACAUGAAUGAUGGUGAUUCACAAUGAUGCCAAACUGCUCUUGAGAGGGUAGACCCAGGUGGACACUCGUGGUGAAAAGACCUGAAGAUGAGGCGGAAAAGCAGAGUAAGUAAACGCCAUUACUGGGAAGCCAAGACAAAACUUGGUGACCAGACCAAGCACCAUUAUGGACAAAGAACUGGCGAUGGAUGCUGGUGCUGGAUCUCCUGCAGAAGGCAGUCAAUAGAUGAGGUGAGUGUCCACAGCUGGUUCCAAUCUGAAAGGCAGAGCAGAGAUGGAAGGGAAAGAAGAGACUGCCAAAGGCACCAUGACAGCACCUCCUCCUCAACGAAAUGAGUCCACGAAGGAAGAAGGCAUAACAUUUUACAGGUAGGUACUAAAAUUUUUCUCCUUUAAUGCUGCAGGGGCAUCAUUAAUAGUACACAUGUUGACAUGAAUGAUGCUUAUUCACGAUGAUGCCAGACUGCUCUUGAGAGGGUAGACCCAGGUGGACACUCGUGGUGAAAAGACCUGAAGAUGAGGUGGAAAAGAAAAGUAAGUAAACGCCAUUACUUGGAAGCCAAGACAAAACUUGGUGACCAGACCAAGCACCAUUAUGGACAAAGAACUGGCGAUGGAUGCUGGUGCUGGAUCUCCUAAAGAAGGCAGUCAAUAUGUGACUCUUCUCAUGACAACACAGGUUGGUUUACAACGGGCGUUUAUUUGCACUUCUGCAGGUCAUCAGACUUCUUGUGGGACAUUGCGUGCCUUCGCUUUCAUAACGCCUUCAUUACGCCGUGAAAACUAUAACAAAACAUUAUAUAUGUUUCAGGAGAAAUAAACAAUACAAAAUAACACAAAACAAGCAUAACAAAUACCUCGUUUCCGCUUGUCAAGAAAAAGAGUCUCUUUGAGUCCAAGGUAUUUCUUUUUGCAGCUCUUUCUCCCAGCUUGAACUCCUAAUUGCUGCAACCUCAUGAGCAAAAGACGUGCUCACCUGCGGCCAACAUAAAAGGCUCAAAUUCUCGUGAGAAUAAUCCUAUUCCUCUGAACAUAAUUCAAACAAAAUUCACUGUACACUCCAAAGAAAUAAAAAUUAAAUCACCAAUUAUUAAACAUUUCACAACCCAUGGACUUCAAUAAAAUAUAUAAAUUUCAGCUGCAUUUACACAAUAGAUGAGGUGAGUGUCCACAGCUGGUUCCAAUCUGAAAGGCAGAGCAGAGAUGGGAGGGAAAGAAGAGACUGCCAAAGGCACCAUGACAGUACCUCCCCCUCAACGAAAUGAGUCCAAGAAAGAGGAAGGCAUAACAUUUUACAGGUAGGUAAUACAAUUUUUCUCUUUUAAUGCUGCAGGAGCAUCAUUAAUAGUACAAAUGUUGACAUGAAUGAUGCUGAUUCACGAUGAUGCCAGACUGCUCUUGAGAGGGUAGACCCAGGUGGACACUCGUGGUGAAAAGACCUGAAGAUGAGGUGGAAAAGAAAAGUAAGUAAACGCCAUUACUUGGAAGCCAAGACAAAACUUGGUGACCAGACCAAGCACCAUUAUGGACAAAGAACUGGCGAUGGAUGCUGGUGCUGGAUCUCCUAAAGAAGGCAGUCAAUAUGUGACUCUUCUCAUGACAACACAGGUUGGUUUACAACGGGCGUUUAUUUGCACUUCUGCAGGUCAUCAGACUUCUUGUGGGACAUUGCGUGCCUUCGCUUUCAUUACGCCUUCAUUACGCCGUGAAAACUAUAACAAAACAUUAUAUAUGUUUCAGGAGAAAUAAACAAUACAAAAUAACACAAAACAAGCAUAACAAAUACCUUGUUUCCGCUUGUCAAGAAAAAGAGUCUCUUUGAGUCCAAGGUAUUUCUUUUUGCAGCUCUUUCUCCCAGCUUGAACUCCUAAUUGCUGCAACCUCAUGAGCAAAAGACGUGCUCACCUGCGGCCAACAUAAAAGGCUCAAAUUCUCGUGAGAAUAAUCCUAUUCCUCUGAACAUAAUUCAAACAAAAUUCACUGUACACUCCAAAGAAAUAAAAAUUAAAUCACCAAUUAUUAAACAUUUCACAACCCAUGGACUUCAAUAAAAUAUAUAAAUUUCAGCUGCAUUUACACUCCCACCAAAAUCACUCCUAUGAAGAAUAAAUGGGAUUUUCAAGUCAAACCACUACUGCUUUUGUUACUCACUCUGCUUCUACAAGCGUUACAACCUUAUGAACAGGUCUAUCUAAAUGCAGUAGUCUAGUGUGUGAAUUAUAGCCAUUGUUUCAUAGAGAAAAGUUCUCAGAGAUGUAGUGUCAAGUCUGGUUCCUGUCUUGUCAAGCAUGACCGCAAGAAUACUUCGGAUCGUUCUUAUUUGGCGCUCCCAAACUCCACCCAUGUGACUUGAAGAUGGAAAAUUUGCCACAAACUCACAACCAAGAGCUCUUUGACGUCCACUUUCUUGAGCAACUCAGAAAACUCUUUUCUGGCUCCCAUAAAAUUGGUGCCUUGAUCACACCUUACGUGGCGAACUGGUCCUCUGAUUGCCACAAAGGUUCGAAAUGCAUUUAUGAAAGCAUCAGUCGUCAUAUCAUCCAGUGUCUCAAUAUGAACAGCUCUUGAGCACAAGCAAGUAAACAAGAGGCCAUAUCUUUUUAAUUCUUUCCUUCCAUCCUUUACUAUAAAGGGACCAAAACAGUCAAGGCCACAAUAUGUAAAAGGAGGGGUUGUUUCCGUCCGCUCGCUUGGCAGAUCAGCCAUCUUCUGAACUUCUGUAUUUCUCCUGUAUCUCCUACAUUUCACACAUUUGUAAAUGUGUGAGGAGACCAUGUUUCCAUAUCCCAUUCGCACGCAGUUCAUUCAUGGUCAUUCCUAUGCCCUGGUGACAAACACGCUCAUGAUAGUGCUUCACAAGCAAGGAUGAUACAUGAGACUUUUUGGGAUGUAUAGCUGGAUGUUUUGCACUAUAGUCCAGGGUUGAUCUGCAAAGCCUUCCUCCAACUCUGAGGACUCCGUCGUCAUCAAGAAAAACAUUUAAACGGUGUAACUGAUUGUGUUUGUUAAAAGAGUUGACUUUUCCUUGUUUUAAUUUCCUUAUAUCUUCUGCGAAGGCUUCUCUUUGUUCCAACUUAAUUAUAAGCAGUUCGGCUUGUCGCCUUUCCUCGCCUUUACUCCCUUACGUUCUUAGACAAAUCUUUUCAGCCUGGCAACAGCUUUCACAACUCUAGACCAGUCUGAAAACUUGGUGAAGCGGUUCACAACUGAAUCCGUUUCUGUUUUCACAGUGUUGACACAAGACUUGCAAAGCUCUGAGUCUGAUAUUUCCAAAACUCCCACCAUCUCCUCUUCACCAACUUGCAUUUCAAGUGUCUGUUGCCAGAGAUAAUCUGGACCCGUUAGCCAGUUAGAUUCUCUUAACUGUGAUGCAGUUAACCCCCUUGAGGCAUGGUCAGCUGGAUUGUUUUCUGAACUGACAUAAUGCCAUUGCUUUGGUUCUGAGCUCGACCUUAUGCGCUGAAUGUGGUUGGCUACAAAGGUGUGGAACCUCUUUGCAUCAUUGUUCACAUAUGCAAGAACAACCUUUGAGUCUGUCCAGAAGUACACGUCCAAAUUUUCAAUCUCAAGUUCCUCUUUGACAGCUGCUUGGUGGGGGCCACCCUUGCCUUUCCCAUUACAAGCAAACAACACACCUUUCCUGAUUCACUUACUGCUCGGAGAUAUGAACAGGAUCCGUAUCCAUUAUAACUUGCAUCUGAAAAAAAAUAAAAAUAAAAAAAAAAUUUAAAAAAAUAACUUGCAUCUGAAAAGUUGUGGAGUUCAAAGAACUCCUCUUCUUGUCAUGGACUUGUCCUUGACAAUAACUCUGAACUGGAAUUCGUCAACUUCAACACACCACUGGACACCUAAAGCACGCUCGAUGUAAAGUUCACCAAAAGCCAUGUUUAUGUCUUCACUCUGUGAACGUUCUGAAGGUGGUAUUGCAGUACAGACUUCUGAAUGGUUAGAGACUAACUUGUGGAGACGAAGAUUCCCAGUUUUACAUAGAGCUCUUGCCUCAUUCACCAGAUGUAUGGCUUCAGCUGGAGUUUCACAGCUCAUUUGGCCAUCAUCAACAUGGAAGCUUCGUUGAAUGAAAUUGAUAGCCUCUUCGCUAAAGGUUCCGUGGCCCUGUGAUGCCAAAUACUUGAGUCCGAAAUUAGAACAGCCUGGAGAUGAGGCAGCUCCAAACAGGUGGACUCUCAUUCUAUACACUGUAGGGGCGGAGCUUAGAUUUCCAUUUUCCCACCACAAGAACCUGAGGUAGUCUUGAUUGUCACUUACAACAUGAAAUUGAUGGAACAUCCGUUCAACAUCACACAUGAUAGCUAUUGGACCUUUUCUGAACCGGCAAAGCACACCAACUAAGGUGUUUGUGAGAUCUGGCCCAGUAAGAAGAUGAUCAUUUAGAGAGACGUCUUUGUAUCUAGCUGAGCAGUCAAACACCACACGGAUCUUACUUGGCUUGUGUGGAUGGUAAACCCCAUGGUGUGGAAUGUACCAUCCAGGCUGGUUAUCCAACUAAGAAUGUGGAACCUUUUCAGCAUCUCCUCUUGAUUUUAUGUCAUUCAUAAAAUGAACAUAAUCUUUGAAGUACUGUUCAUUCUUUCGCAGCCGUCGCUCUAAUGAUGCUAACCUGUGGAGUGCAUAACCUUUGUUAUCUGGAAGCUCAGGCUUGUCCUCCCUGAAUGGCAGUGGGAGUUCAUAGUGGCCAUCUUCUUUCUGCCUGAUGCCUGCCUUUAUUUUUGACAAGAAGAGAAGGUCAUCUUGAGAGACUGGAUUAACAUCUGAUGCUUGAUCUGAGAAAUCUGACUCUAAUGCUCUGAUAAUUUCUGUUGAAGUGAUUUCUCUUAUUUGAGUUUGACAUACAAAGCUUACUUCUCUCCUGAGUUCAACUGAUGGAUGUGCAGAUGGUGUUACUUGGCUGACUAUUAUUCUGUGGCUGACUCCUAUAGAGUCAACACAAUCACUUGAGGAUUGUGAGCAGCCAACAACGCUCCAGCCCAAAUCAGUUCGUUGACCAUAUGGCUGAUUUUCUUUACCAGGCAGAAUCUCCUUUGGUUGAAGGGCUUGGUGGCAGUUGUACCCAAUAAGAAGGCCGACUUCACAAGACAGCAAAGGUGGGAUCUUGUCAGCCAACUUUUCCAGAUGAGUCCACUUUAGAGCAGUAGAUGAUGUUGGGAUGUGUGAUCUAUUUGCUGGAAUAUAUUCUCGUGUGAAAACUGGUGGCAGUGAGAUCCUUCUUUCCAAGUUGUAUCCUCUUACUUGUAGGUUUGUUAGCCUUUGACAUGAAAUACUUGCUAACUUGGAUGACAUUGUGGACAAAAUGCAGACUUACAUUUUCCUUGUGGGUGUUGAGAUCUUGUGCUACUUCAUCUAAAAUGAAAGUAGUAUCACUUUGGGCGUCUAAUAAUGCCUAAACAAGAAUCUCUCGAUCUGGUUCUUUUGAGGAUGAUACCCAAACUGGUACUAUGGAGGAGGUUUGUGAAAUUUGACUUUCUUGUAUCACUCUGUUUGAUGUUGCUGCUUCAAUGGUUUUCUUUGUGUUUUCAUUUUCUGUUAUUUUAUCCUUUGGAUUUUGUAGUGUUGACUUUUGCUGCUCUUUAAAGUCAUCAUUGUGCAAACAGGUGGGAUGUUUCUUUUGACAUUUUCCACAUGUACUUCUUUUGUAGCACCUUUUUGACUGGUGGCCAGCCUUCAAACAGCCAAAACAGAGUUUUUCUGCUUGCACAAACUUAACACGGUCUUGCAAAUUCUUUUCACAGAACUUUUUACAUUCUGCGAUGAAAUGUCUUGAAUGUUUACAAAAUGCACAUGGUGGGUAACUUCUUUCUGUUGUGUUUGUAAACAGAGUCUUUGCUUGAACUGGUUGAUAUUUUGGUUGUUAAGGUUUUUCUCCUUCCACACUCUUUAACUCUGCUGUUAUGUUCGUUUAUGAGGAACAGAGAUGAUGUUCCUGGGUCAAUUUGACCCGUUGAAGGUUUUAUUAAUUAAAAGAUGUCUGAAACCCAAAAAAUCCUAACAAGCAGUGUGAAUAUACCAAUACUAACUCCAUUCCUAAUUAUUCUAUCAAAAUUUAGUGAAAUGGUGGUCCUUACCUCUAACAGGAAGUGGUUCAAUUAUUAGAUAAUUCACUUGUUUUUCUUAAAAAUAUACAUGUUCUAACUUUUUUCAAAUUUUUCACUACUGUAUUACUUUAAAAGACCACCAUAUAAAACACAAUACUUUUACAUAACAUUGAAACAUAAUCUUGAAAUGUUGUUUUACAUACAUGCACUGUGAACCAGAAAUAAACAAAAUCACAGUACAACAGACAAGCAAUUGCAAUAUGAAGUUGUGUGUGUGUCUGUACAUACACAGCACAAAAGUGACUAUUAAUGAAGCCCCUGCAGUCUUAUGAUAAGACAUCAUUGUACCUCCAGUUUGACUGCCGGGUCAAAUUGACCCGAACAGUAUUUAUGUUGUAUAAACAUGCAGGGGGGAUUGCAAAUAUUUGAGAUGAACCAAAUUCAUAAUAUAAGUGGAUUACACUAAUUAAGGCAAGCAGAAGAAGUUUCAUGCUGAAAAAAUACUUUUAACUAUUUUUCCUAGAUGUUCAAACUUUAAAUCGGGUCAAUUUGACCCGCAACAUAACAGGAGGGUUAAUGCUUGUACUGAAAAUACAGGAUCACAAGCAAGAUCUGCUUCUCUUGAGAGGAAGUCCGCUAGUUCUUUAAACCUUGGAUACGUGUCAAAGGUUUCUCUAGUUUCCAUAACCUUGCGGUUCCAACUGGAAACUAACCAAUCUGGAAGUUUGAGCAAGAUCUUUUCAUUGCAGUCAUUGAGAACUUCCAAGGUCUUUACAUGUGACAUUGCCUUUUCACAGCUCUGGAGGAAGUCUACAAAUUCUCUAAGUUCAUGUGCAUCCUUUGAACUUAUUUUUGGCCAACUGUAGAGUUUAUCCCUGAAAGACUUCCCUAUGAUGAAUGGAUCACCAAAUCGUUUUUCCAGGAUCUGCCACGCUGAGUCAUAUGCAGCCUCUGUUCUGAGCAUGAAAAAUCCUUCUACAGCCUUUUUUGCAGAGCCGCCUACGUACCUUUGAAGGUAGAGCAGCUUUUCAUUCUUUGUAAUAUUUUUUUUGUCUAUUAGUGUCUAAAAGACACUUGCCAAUCUUUGAAUUUCAAAGGAUUUCCAGUAAAAAUUGUGGGCUCAUGUGUUGGAAGACGAUUAGCACUUAUGGCUUCUGCUAAAAUACUAACAAAGUUUGCACCGUCUUGCACAUGAGUCGUGGUUGUUGGGGGUGUCGUCAUUUGGUAUGUGAUAGCUUGUGGAAUAAAUGGAGGACUUGAGGCAUCAAGUGUUUGAACAGGGGCUGGAAAAGACUUAGGAAACACAGGAGGUCUUGGUAUUUGAAGCAUAGAUGAUGACUUUGUCAAAGGAAUAUUUUGAGAAGUUCUUACUCUUUCAGUGUUACCUUGUUUGAAGGAAACCUCUGCUUGGUCGUAGACUUCUACUGUAGCUUUAGCAGCAUUUAGCUUUUUGACUUCUUCGAGUCGUUAAAGUUUUCUACGUUUGUCUUGUAUAGCCUGAAGUCUAGCUUGUUUCUCUGACUCAAACUGAACAAGACGCUCUUUAUCUUCAGCCUCCAGCCUUUGAAGUUCAACUGCUUCCUUUUCUUGUUCCUCCAACACUGCCAAAACCUCUUGACAUGCAGCAGCUUCUCUUCUUUUGGCUGAUUGGACACUUGAGUGCAAAGAAUCACACUUUGACCGAUCAGACAUUGACUGAGAUGAUGAAACUGUUGAAUUUAAGAUUGAUCCCACAUCUGGCCAAGGUUCCUCCUCUUCUUCUGCUGGUGACCCUUGAAGCUGUCUUUUAGCCUUUUGGAUAAUAUAUCUUGACAGUGACAUACAGGUAUCAACCUUGCGCCGCAGGUCUGACUCUGGCGUACAUACUUGGCGCAGCUCAUCGUACAUCCCCUGUACAGCAGAAGAGGUAGCUUAAAGGUCCUCAAUCAUUUCAUUUAGCUCCUCCUUGGAAACUUUAUCUGAUAACAUUUCUUUACUAAUUCUCGCAUGAUAUCUCCACUACUGAUAAACUGUAGUGUUAACUUUGCUUUCAAAUAUUUUUACCCCUUAAAUGAACAACAUUUCUUUUUUCUAAAUAAGUCACAAAAACAUUUACUUGAUACGUAACAAUAUAGUAGAAACGCUUUAGAAUUCCACAGAUUACAAAUAACUUAUUCCUUUAGCUGCAAACUUUAAAUCCCCUUUUCACACUACAGUAUUUCUUUACUUUUUGGAAAAUAACUUUCUGAGCUUCAUUGGACGAGCUGCGCUUCCGACAGUCCUUUCAUCUGCUUGCCUGCACGCAGUAAGGAAAUUGGCGUCGGCUUCCCCGUGGCUCUCGGCUCGGUUUAGCGGGCUUCCGCUGCAGUUUACUCUCUCCUCCCCGUGUGGAGCAGACGAGUUUUCACUAUGACUCUUCUCAUGACAACACAGGUUGGUUUACAACGGGCGUUUAUUUGCACUUCUGCAGGUCAUCAGACUUCUUGUGGGACAUUGCGUGCCUUCGCUUUCAUUACGCCUUCAUUACGCCGUGAAAACUAUAACAAAAUAUUAUACAUGCUUGAGGAGAAAUAAACAAUACAAAAUAACACAAAACAAGCAUAACAAAUACCUCGUUUCCGCUUGUCAAGAAAAAGAGUCUCUUUGAGUCCAAGGUAUUUCUUUUUGCAGCUCUUUCUCCCAGCUUGAACUCCUAAUUGCUGCAACCUCAUGAGCAAAAGACGUGCUCACCUGCGGCCAACAUAAAAGGCUCAAAUUCUCGUGAGAAUAAUCCUAUUCCUCUGAACAUAAUUCAAACAAAAUUCACUGUACACUCCAAAGAAAUAAAAAUUAAAUCACCAAUUAUUAAACAUUUAACAACCCAUGGACUUCAAUAAAAUAUAUAAAUUUCAGCUGCAUUUACACAAUAGAUGAGGUGAGUGUCCACAGCUGGUUCCAAUCUGAAAGGCAGAGCAGAGAUGGAAGGGAAAGAAGAGACUGCCAAAGGCACCAUGACAGCACCUCCCCCUCAACAAAAUGAGUCCAAGAAAGAGGAAGGCAUAACAUUUUACAGGUAGGUAAUACAAUUCUUUCUCUUUUAAUGCUGCAGGGGCAUCAUUAAUAGUACAAAUGUUGACAUGAAUGAUACUGAUUCACGAUGAUGCCAGACUGCUCUUGAGAGGGUAGACCCAGGUGGACACUCGUGGUGAAAAGACCUGAAGAUGAAACGGAAAAGCAGAGUAAGUCAACGCCAUUACUGGGAAGCCAAGACAAAACUUGGUGACCAGACCAAGCACCAUUAUGGACAAAGAACUGUCGAUGGAUGCUGGUGCUGGAUCUCCUGAAGAAGGCAGUCAAUAGAUGAGGUGAGUGUCCACAGCUGGUUCCAAUCUGAAAGGCAGAGCAGAGAUGGAAGGGAAAGAAGAGACUGCCAAAGGCACCAUGACAGCACCUCCCCCUCAACGAAAUGAGUCCACGAAAGAGGAAGGCAUAACAUUUUACAGGUAGGUACUAAAAUUUUUCUCUUUUAAUGCUGCAGGGGCAUCAUUAAUAGUACACAUUUUGACAUGAAUGAUGGUGAUUCACGAUGAUGCCAGACUGCUCUUGAGAGGGUAGACCCAGGUGGACACUCGUGGUGAAAAGACCUGAAGAUGAGGUGGAAAAGCAAAGUAAGUAAACACCAUUACUUGGAAGCCAAGACAAAACUUGGUGACCAGACCAAGCACCAUUAUGGACAAAGAACUGGCGAUGGAUGCUGGAUCUCCUAAAGAAGGCAGUCAAUAGAUGAGGUGAGUGUCCACAGCUGGUUCCAAUCUGAAAGGCAGAGCAGAGAUGGGACGGAAAGAAGAGACUGCCAAAGGCACCAUGACAGUACCUCCCCCUCAACGAAAUGAGUCCACGAAGGAGGAAGGAAUAACAUUUUACAGGUAGGUACUAAAAUUUUUCUCUUCUAAUGCUGCAGGGGCAUCAUUAAUAGUACACAUUUUGAAAUGAAUGAUGGUGAUUCACGAUGAUGCCAGACUGCUCUUGAGAGGGUAGACCCAGGUGGACACUCGUGGUGAAAAGACCUGAAAAUGAGGCGGAAAAGCAAAGUAAGGAAACGCCAUUACUUGGAAGCCAAGACAAAACUUGGUGACCAGACCAAGCACCAUUAUGGGCAAAGAACUGGCGAUGGAUGUCGGUGCUGGAUCUCCUGAAGAAGGCAUUCAAUAGAUGAGGUGAGUGUCCACAGCUGGUUCCAAUCUGAAAGGCAGAGCAGAGAUGGGACGGAAAGAAGAGACUGCCAAAGGCAUCAUAACAGUACCUCCCCCUCAACGACCGCCACCGGGCGGGUCCAGGACACCGAUCCGGGUGAGCACGGUAGAAGUCCUCAAUGAAGGAAGGGUCCAGGAUGUAUGAAUGGGAGAUCCACGACCGUUCCUCAGGACCUUAUCCCUCCCAGACCACCAGGAACUGUACCCCGGCACCGAACACCCAACACCUGGCGGGCCAUGAAAGCCGGGGGGCCGUGGAUGAUACGGGCAGAGGGGAAGUGGACAGCGGGCAUAGAAAGCUUUCCUGGACAGGCUUGAUUUGAGAUAGGUGGAAUGACGGGUGUUCCUUGAGGGCCGCUGGAAGUUGUAAGUGGACGCAAGAGGGAUUGAUGAUCUGCUCGAUGGUGUUAAGUCCAAUGAAACUGGGAGCCAGCUUACAGGAAGUAGCCUGGAUGGGAAUGUUCCGAGAUGAGAGCCAAACCCUCUGACCAGACUGGUACGUGGGUCCCACCACCCUGUGGCGAUUGACGAUUCGACAGUUGCUCUUCCUGGUGCACAGGAAGAGCGGCCUCUAACUCCUGGUUAGCUCUCUCCGCCUGACCUUUGGAUUGAGGGUGGUAUCCGGAAGUCAGGCUAACUAUGUCGCCUAAAGCGGUGGGUAACUUUGGAAGACGAAGGAAGUGAGCGGCCUCAGAGAAACGGUCAAUGACAGUGAGGAUAAUGGUGUUGUAAAUGAGGAUCUGGGUUCUAAAACUGUUUGUGGGCGACACCACUCUCGAACCAGGAGUGCCGGCCAGAGCACUACGUCAAGGCCCGGAUGAGGCUGUUUCCUUUUGUUGGUGCAUGAAAUAAAUGACAUCAGGCAGGAGGAUGGCUUCAAUAACUGUAAUCCAGACUUCAGGCUUUACAUCAUUUGGUUUGACAUGCAGAGGCAGGUAAAUUUCAAUAGGUGGAUGAACAUAUGUAUAUGUGUGGUCUCUAGUAAACACAAAUAUAAAUUCAAUAUGCAACUUAAAUCAAAUAAAAAGAACAAAGAAACCAACAUGUGCGCUUUAUGCUCAUUUUUGACUAAUUAACACUAAUUUACCUGUGCACUACUUAAACUAGGGGUGUCCAAAUCCAGGCCUCAAGGGCCGGCAACCUGCUGGUUUUCCAGAAACCCUGCCUCAUCUGCUGUUGAUUACCUGGAUCAGGUGUGUUUAGCCAAUUAGGAGCUUCAAAGGCAGGUUGAUUGGAAAACAUAUAGGACACUGGCCCUUGGGGCCUGGAAUUGGACACCCCUGACUUAAACAUUGUGAAUAUUUGAACAAAAAUACUACAAGAAAACAUGCAUUAACAUAAACUUACUUUGUCAUCAAUGUACACUAAACUCCCAAGGGAAAAACUUCAUUUCAUGCCACGCAGCGGCACACUCAUGCACGGAGCAAAGCAGGGAGGCAGGUGCCGUGCAGCAUCACGAUGACGUCAUCACUCUUGUAAUUAGCAUGCGUCUAACGCUAAACAAAAUUUAAAGGUAGAGGAAUUGUAAACCUAAUCAUCUGAGUCUUUUGUACAGGUGUUGCCUUGAGAAGGUGGGAGUCCCGUGACAAAGUCCAUGGCAAUGUGUCACCAAGGACGACUCGGUAUGGCAGCGGUUGAAAAACCCAGAGGGCGGGGAGUUAGAGGACUUAGAAUGGGCACAGGUAUUGCAGGCAGCUACGUAAUCUCUGAUCGUCAACAACUCCCAGUUUCCCACGUCGUAAUUGCGUUCAGCAGAGGAAAGUUUAUGGGAAAAGAAAGCGCAUGGCUUGAGUUUUCCUGAUAAUUUCUCCGUCUGAGAAAGGACUGCUCCCACUCCAGAUUCAGAGAUGUCGACUUCAACAAUGAACUGACUGGUGGGGUCGGGCUGUAUAAGGAUAAGAGCUGUGACAAAGAGUUAUUUGACUGGGGCUCAGGACCCCAUAUGUAAGGUUUGUUGAUGGAGGUGAGCUGAGUUAAAGGGGAAGCAAUGCUACUGUCAUUCCUAAUGAAGCAUCGAUAGAAAUUAGCGAACCCCAGGAAUUGUUGUAACUUCUUCUGAGUAUCGGGGGGUUCCCAACUGGUAAUGGCUUCGAUUUUAACAGGAUCAGGUAUUAUCUGCCUCAAAAAUAUAACCCAAAAAAGAAAUAGUAGAAACAUGAAAUUCACAUUUUUUGGCUUUAACGUAUAGUUGGUUCUCAAGUAAGCAUCCCAAAACGAGGCGUACAUGGGUCAUGUGUUGAGAGAUGUCACGAGAGUAAAUGAGUAUGUUGUCUAAGUAGACAAACAUGAAACGAUUCAGGAAGUCUCUGAGGACGUCAUUAACGAGAUGUUUGACUAUAGGACGGACUUUCCUCUCCAGUACCUUGGCAUAGACUUUCCCAGGGAGGCUAAGGAGUGUGAUUCCCUGGUAGUUGGAACACACCGUCCAGUCCCCCUUCUUAAAGAGGGGAAACACUACCCCUGUCUGCCAAUCCAGUGGCACAGUUCCCGACUGCCACACGAUGCUGCAGAGAUGUGUCAGCCAAGACACUCCAACAGCAUCCAGAGAUUUGAGGUACUCAGGGCGGACUUCAUCCACUACCGAAGCCCUGCCACUGAGGAGCUCAUUGACUACCUCAGUGACUUUAGCUUGGGUGAUAGAGAGCCUCACCUCUGUUUCCUCAGAAUAAGGCGCGUCAGUGCGAUUGAGGAGAUCCUCGAAUAGUACCUUCCACCGCCCGACAAUGUCCCCAGUCAAAGGCAAAGGGUCCCCGCCUGCACUGAAAACGGUGAAUGUAGAGAACUGCUUUCCCCUCCUGAUGCGCCGGACAAUUUGCCAGAAUCUUUUCGAGGCCAACCGAUAGUCGAUGCCUUACUGAAUUCCUCCCAAUAAUAAACAGUAAUAAAAAAAGGUUUCCUCUAAAAAAA